rnacentral:hammerhead_ribozyme from 1 species
AUCCAGCUGACGAGUCCAAAAUAAGACGAAACGCUCGUCCUGGAU